GGCUCACUCGCGGAACUCAGAAGAAGCUCAGAACCAGGAGUAUUGUGGACAAAUUAUGGAGCUUCUGGACGAAUUUGAUGCAGCAUGCAUACCCCCAUCCCUGUGUCUGGUCUCCUGGUUCAAGUCGCUGACAAUGAUCAUGGGAAGUGCC